AAAAGUAAUACCAAGGUUUCCGUAGGUGAACUGCGGAAGGAUCAUUAUUGAAUAAACUUGGUUGGGUUGUUGCUGGCUUUUCGGAGCAUGUGCACGCCUAGCGCCAUUUUUUACCACCUGUGCACUUCUUGUAGAUUUGAAACACCCUCUCGAGGAAACUCGGUUUGAGGAUUGCUAAUGCGUAAAGCUAGGCUUUCCUUGCGUUUCAAGUCUAUGUUUUUAUAUACCCCAUAAGAAUGUUUUAGAAUGUCAUUAAUGGGCUUAAUUGCCUCUAAAUUAAUACAACUUUCAACAACGGAUCUCUUGGCUCUCGCAUCGAUGAAGAACGCAGCGAAAUGCGAUAAGUAAUGUGAAUUGCAGAAUUCAGUGAAUCAUCGAAUCUUUGAACGCACCUUGCGCUCCUUGGUAUUCCGAGGAGCAUGCCUGUUUGAGUGUCAUUAAAUUCUCAACCCUUUCAGCUUUUGCGAGCUGAAUUGGCUUGGAUGUGGGGGUUUUUGCGGGCUUCUCAAGAAGUCGGCUCCUCUUAAAUGCAUUAGCGGAACCUUUGUGGACCAGCUUUGGUGUGAUAAUUAUCUACGCCAUGGUUGUGAAGCAGCUUUUAACAUGGGGUUCAGCUUUCUAACCGUCCAUUAACUUGGACAAUUUAUGACAUUUUGACCUCAAAUCAGGUAGGACUACCCGCUGAACUUAAGCU
rnacentral:rRNA from 1 species